rnacentral:rRNA from 1 species
AUUUUGGACAAUGGGGGCAACCCUGAUCCAGCCAUCCCGCGUGUGCGAUGAAGGCCUUCGGGUUGUAAAGCACUUUUGGCAGGGAAGCAAAGCCGCGGUUUAAUACUCUGCGGCGCUGACGGUACCUGCAGCAUAAGCACCUGCUAACCUCGUGCCAUCAGCCCUGGUAAUACGUAGGGUGCAAGCGUUAAUCGGAAUUACUGGGCGUAAAGCGUGCGCAGGCGGUUCGGCAAGAAGGAUGUGAAAUCCCGGGGCUUAACCUCGGAACUGCAUUCUUAACUGCCGGACUAGAGUAUGUCAGAGGAGGGUAGAAUUCCGCGUGUAGCAGUGAAAUGCGUAGAGAUGCGGAGGAAUACCGAUGGCGAAGGCGGCCCCCUGGGAUAAUACUGACGCUCAUGCACGAAAGCGUGGGGAGCAAAC